UUGGAAGUUAAUAAUAUUUUAAUUGGGGGGUUAAAGUAUAUUAAAAGAAAAAAUAUAAAUAUUUAUAGAAAAUUAGUAUUGUAAAAGAAUUUUGAAAUAUUUGAAAAUAAAUUUAUUAUUAAGUAAUUUUAAUUUAGUGUAUCUUGUGUAUCAGAGUUUAUUAAAUAAUAAUUUUAGUUUAAAAAUAUUCUCGAAUUUAAAAGAGAUAAUUAAUUAUAAAAGUUAUUGUUGUAUAAAUAUUUUUAAUAAUUAAUUUGAAAUGAGAUGUUAAUCGUUUUUAAAUAUAUCUAGUUUUUUUAGAAAAAAAUUUAAUUUUAAAUUUAUUAUAUUAUAUAAUAUUAAUUAUAUUUAAUAAAAAUAUUUAAUAAAUUUUAUAUUUUAAGGGAUAAGCUUUAAAUUAAAUUUAAUAUAAUAAUAAAAUAAAUUUUAUUUGAAAUUUUUAUGAUUUAUAUUAUUAAUAAAUUAUAGUUUAUUAUAAAUAAUUUCAUUUAAAAUAAAAUUUAAUAGUAUAAUUUAUUUUAGAUUUAUAAAAAUAAAUUUUUUAAUGAGAAAAAAAUUAAUAUAAUGAUAAAAUUAGUAUAUAAAAUAAUAAAUAAUUAUUAAAAAUUAAUAAAAUUAUUUAUUAGGAAUUCGGCAAAUAGGAAAUAUAAUUAUAAUACUCACUUGUUUAUCAAAAACAUGUCUUUUUGAAAAUAAUAUAAAGUCUAAUCUGCCCACUGAUAUUAAUUAAAGGGCUGCAGUAUAUUGACUGUACAAAGGUAGCAUAAUCAUUAGUCAUUUAAUUGAUGACUUGUAUGAAAGAUUGGAUGAAGUAUUAACUGUCUUAUAAAUAAAUUAUAAAAUUUAAUUUUUAAAUUAAAAAGUUUAAAUAAAUUAAAAAGACGAGAAGACCCUAUAGAGUUUUAUAAUUUAUAUAUUUAUAAUUAUUAAUUAAUUAAAAAUUUUUAAUUAUAUAAAUUAUUUUAUUGGGGUGAUAGAAAAAUAAAAAGAACUUUUUUUAUAAAAAGUCAUAAAUAAGUGAGUAAAUGAUCCAAUUUUAUUGAUUAUAAGAAAAAAUUACCUUAGGGAUAACAGCGUUAUUUAUUUUUUUAGUUCAUAUAAAAAAUUAAGUUUGCGACCUCGAUGUUGGAUUAAGAUAAAAAUUAAAUGUAGAAGUUUAAAUUUUUGAUCUGUUCGAUCAUUAAAAUCUUACAUGAUCUGAGUUCAGACCGGUGUGAGCCAGGUUGGUUUCUAUCUUUUAAUAAAUAAAAUAUUUUAGUACGAAAGGAUUGGAUAUUUAAAUUAAAUUUAUUUAAAUUGAAUUUUAUU
rnacentral:rRNA from 2 species